rnacentral:rRNA from 1 species
UACGUAGGGGGCAAGCGUUGUCCGGAUUUACUGGGCGUAAAGAGCGCGCAGGCGGUCGUUCAAGUCGCGUGUGAAAGCCCCCGGCUCAACUGGGGAGGGUCACGCGAUACUGAUCGACUCGAAGGCAGGAGAGGGUAGUGGAAUUCCGGGUGUAGUGGUGGAAUGCGUAGAGAUCCGGAGGAACACCAGCGGCGAAGGCGGCGUCCUGGACUGGUACUGACGCUCAGGAGCGAAAGCGUGGGGAGCGAUCCGG